GACGAACCGUCCAAACGUUAUUCGGAAUCACUGGGCUUAAAGGGUGCGUAGGCGGCGCGGAAAGUUGGGUGUGAAAUCCCUCGGCUCAACCGAGGAACUGCGCCCAAAACUGCCGUGCUCGAGGGAGAUAGAGGUGAGCGGAACUUAGGGUGGAGCGGUGAAAUGCGUUGAUAUCCUAAGGAACACCGGUGGCGAAAGCGGCUCACUGGAUCUCUUCUGACGCUGAGGCACGAAAAGCUAGGGUAGCGAACGGG
rnacentral:rRNA from 1 species